UACGAAGGGGGCGAGUGUUGUUCGGAAUUACUGGGCGUAAAGGGCGCGCAGGCGGCUCUGAAAGUCAGAUGUGAAAGCCCCGGGCUUAACCUGGGAAUUGCAUUUGAUACUCUGGAGCUUGAGUACGGGAGAGGAGAGUGGAAUUCCCAGUGUAGAGGUGAAAUUCGUAGAUAUUGGGAAGAACACCGGUGGCGAAGGCGGCUCUCUGGACCGUAACUGACGCUGAGGCGCGAAAGCGUGGGGAGCAAACAGG
rnacentral:rRNA from 1 species